rnacentral:rRNA from 1 species
CCUACGGGAGGCAGCAGUGAGGAAUAUUGGUCAAUGGACGCAAGUCUGAACCAGCCAUGCCGCGUGCAGGAAGACGGCUCUAUGAGUUGUAAACUGCUUUUGUACGAGGGUAAACGCAGAUACGCGUAUCUUUCUGAAAGAAUCGUACGAAUAAGGACCGGCUAACUCCGUGCCAGCAGCCGCGGUAAUACGGAGGAUUCAAGCGUUAUCCGGAUUUAUUGGGUUUAAAGGGGGCGUAGGCGGUCGGUUAAGUUCGAGGUGAAAUCCAGAGGCUCAACUUCGGAAUUGCCUCUGAUACUGUUAGGCUAGAGAGUAGUUGCGGUAGGCGGAAUGUAUGGUGUAGCGGUGAAAUGCUUAGAGAUCAUACAGAACACCGAUUGCGAAGGCAGCUUACCAAGCUACGUCUGACGUUGAGGCACGAAAGCGUGGGGAGCAAACAGGAUUAGAUACCCCAGUAGUC